CCGCAUAAGACCACGGACCGGCAUCGGUCAGAGGUCAAAGGAGGAAUCCGCUUUGGGAGGGGUUCGCGUCCCAUUAGGUAGUUGGUGAGGUAACGGCCCACCAAGCCGACGAUGGGUAGCCGAGCUGAGAGGCUGAUCGGCCACAUCGGGACUGAGACACGGCCCGGACUCCUACGGGAGGCAGCAGUCGGGAAUAUUGGACAAUGGGCGCAAGCCUGAUCCAGCAAUACCGCGUGUGUGAAGAAGGCCUGCGGGUUGUAAAGCACUUUCAGUUGGGAAGAUAAUGACGUUACCAACAGAAGAAGCACCGGCUAACUCCGUGCCAGCAGCCGCGGUAAUACGGAGGGUGCAAGCGUUAAUCGGAAUUACUGGGCGUAAAGCGUGCGUAGGCGGCCUGUUAAGUCAGAUGUGAAAGCCCCGGGCUUAACCUGGGAACUGCAUCUGAUACUGGGGGGCUAGAAUGUGGGAGAAGAGAGUGGAAUUUCCGGUGUAGCGGUGAAAUGCAUAGAGAUCGGAAGGAACACCAGUGGCGAA
rnacentral:rRNA from 1 species